rnacentral:rRNA from 1 species
GCACAAGCGGUGGAUGAUGUGGUUUAAUUCGAUGCAACGCGAAAACCUUACCCACCUUUGACAUGUAUGGAAGUUUCCAGAGAUGGAUUCGUGCUCGAAAGAGAGCCAUAACACAGGUGCUGCAUGGCUGUCGUCAGCUCGUGUCGUGAGAUGUUGGGUUAAGUCCCGCAACGAGCGCAACCCUUGUCAUUAGUUGCUACAUUCAGUUGGGCACUCUAAUGAGACUGCCGGUGACAAACCGGAGGAAGGUGGGGAUGACGUCAAGUCCUCAUGGCCCUUAUAGGUGGGGCUACACACGUCAUACAAUGGCCGGUACAAAGGGUCGCAAACCCGCGAGGGGGAGCCAAUCCAUCAAAGCCGGUCGUAGUCCGGAUCGCAGUCUGCAACUCGACUGCGUGAAGUCGGAAUCGCUAGUAAUCGUGGAUCAGCAUGUCACGGUGAAUACGUUCCCGGGUCUU